GAUGAAGAACGUAGCGAAAUGCGAUAAGUAAUGUGAAUUGCAGAAUUCAGUGAAUCAUCGAAUCUUUGAACGCACAUUGCGCCCAUUAGUAUUCUAGUGGGCAUGCCUGUUCGAGCGUCAUUUCAACCCUUAAGCCUAGCUUAGUGUUGGGAAUCUGCUGUAUUGCAGUUCCUCAAAUACAACGGCGGAUCUGUAACAUCCUCUGAGCGUAGUAAAUUUUUAUCUCGCUUUUGUUAGGUGUUGCAGCUCUCAGCCGCUAAACCCCCCAAUUUUUGUGGUUGACCUCGGAUCAGGUAGGAAUACCCACUGAACUUAAGCAUAUCAAUAAGCGGAGGA
rnacentral:misc_RNA from 1 species